CUUUACUCCUCUGUCUAAUUUCAUUUUCCCAAAAAAGGUUGAACAUAUCAACUUACUCAUUUUGUUACUUGGAAGAUGGGAAUAAGGUAAUAUGAAGAAAAAAAACACCUCAGAUUUAAGGCAGCUAUUUUUUUAAAUAGAUCAUCCUAACACAAUUAAAGAAUUGGAAACCUUAGUUGAUGGUUUCUUGGUAAUCAUACCAACCAGACAUUUAUAUGAAACUCAUAGGAAUAUUUUAAUCAAAUGAUAUUUGUGGGUAUUUUUUUCAUGUCUAACCCCAC
rnacentral:lncRNA from 1 species